GAUGAACGCUGGCGGCGUGCCUAAUACAUGCAAGUCGAGCGAAGCUGGGACGGGGGAGUAACACGUAGAUACCCUCCUAUAAGACUGGGAUAACUUCGGGAAACCGGAUCUCAACCGGCUACUUAUAGAUGACUCCGCGGUUCCGUAGAUAGUUGGUAAGGUAACGGCUUACCAAGGCAACGAUGCAUAGCCGAUCUGAGAUGGUGAUCUGCCACACUGGAACUGAGACACGGUCCAGACUCCUACGUGAGGCAGCAGUAGGGAAUCUUCCGCAAUGGGCGAAAGCCUGACGGAGCAAUGCCGCGUGAGUGAUGAAGGUCUUCGGAUCGUAAAACUCUGUUAUUAGGGAAGCGGUACCUAAUCAGAAAGCCACGGCUAACUACGUGCCAGCAGCCGCGGUAAUAC
rnacentral:rRNA from 1 species